GACGAACGCUGGCGGCGUGCUUAACACAUGCAAGUCGAACGGAAAGGCCUGCUUUCCCUUGUGGAUUGCGGGUACUCGCGUGGCGAACGGGUGAGUAACACGUGAGUGAUCUGCCCCCAACUUGGGUAUAAGCCUGGGAAACUGGGUCUAAUUCCCGAUAGGACUGCAGGGUGGUGCCUGUGGUGGAAAACGAUUUUCUAGUGGUUGGGGAUGAGCUCGCGGCCUAUCAGCUUGUUGGUGGGGUAAUGGCCUACCAAGGCGGCGACGGGUAGCCGGCCUGGGAGGGUGGACGGGCACAUUGGGACUGAGAUACGGCCCAGACUCCUACGGGAGGCAGCAGUGGGGAAUAUUGCACAAUGGGCGGAAGCCUGAUGCAGCGACGCCGCGUGGGGGAUGACGGCCUUCGGGUUGUAAACUCCUUUCGACCGCGAGGAAGCCACCUGGUUGGAAGGGUGGUGACGGUAGUGGUAGAAGAAGCACCGGCUAACUACGUG
rnacentral:rRNA from 1 species